AUUAUAUUUGCCAUAAGGUCAAAGACAGCAGAUGCCCACAAAGGGCUUAAUUUUCUGCCGAGACUGAAGCAACAAAAGUUGUUUCUACACUCUCGACCUUGGGUCGUUUUUUAUUAAUCAA
rfam:Parcubacteria bacterium GW2011_GWE1_40_20 TT89_C0004, whole genome shotgun sequence.